rnacentral:tRNA from 1 species
GGGGUGGUAGCUCAGCUGGUCAGAGCCACGUACUCAUAAUGCGUAGGUCGUGGGUUCAAGUCCCACCUGCCCCA